GAAGCAAGCACCAAAGAAAUGGCAUGAGAAGUUUGACUUAGCAAUAAUAUCAUUCGGGUUUAAAUAUAAUAGCGUUGAUAAAUGUUUAUAUUCUAAAGUUAGUGAUGAUUAUGUGACAUUUAUAUGCUUGUAUGUUGACGACAUGUUGAUUAUAAGUAAUUACAUGGACGGAGUAGAAGAAAUAAAGAGGUUUCUUUCUUCCACAUUCAAGAUAAGGCACUUGGACAAGUGGAUACCAUUUUAGGUAUCAAAGUCAUAAAGACUAGUGAGGGUUACUAUCUAAGUCAAUCACAUUAUAUUGAGAAUGUAAUAAAUAAGUUCAAACAUUUGAACAUAAAAGAAUGUAGUACCCCGAUUGAUCCAAGUUCAAAACUAAUAAAGAAUGAUGGAAGGGCGAUUGCUCAAUUGGAAUAUGCAAGUGCUAUAAGGAGUCUUAUGUAUGUUGUUCAAUGCACAAGAUCAGAUAUAGCUUAUGCAAUAAGUAAACUUAGUAGGUUUACUAGCAAUCUGAGUAAUGAUCAUUGGAAAGCUAUUGUAAGAGUUCAUGGAUACUCAAAGAAAACUAAGAACUUGGGCCUACAAUAUACUAAAUUCCCGGCGAUAUUGGAAGGAUUUACCGAUGCUAGUUAGAUAUCUAGCACGGGUGAAAGUAAAUCCACUUCGGGUUGGUUAUUCACUCUUGGAGGAGGUGCUGUUUCUUGAAAAUCAAAUAAAUAAACAUGUAUAACACACUAACCAUGGAAAUUAAAUUUGUAGCUUUAUCGGAUACCAGAAAAGAGGUUGAGUGGCUUAAGGAUCUCUUAUAUGAGAUACCUUUGGGAUCGAAGAAUAUCUCUUCAAUACCUAUCAUGUGUGAUAGUCAAGUCACGUUAGCAAAGGCCUAUAACAAGGUAUACAAUAGAAAGUCUAGACAUAUGAGUCUGAGACAUGACUACAUAAGGAAAUUAAUCAAAGAUGGAAUAAUUUUCCUAAACUAUGUAAGGUCAAUUGAGAAUUUAGCGGAUCCUUUAACUAAAGCACUAAAUAGAGAUUUAGUGACAUCUACUUCGAGUAGG
rnacentral:sRNA from 1 species